AGGAUGAACGCUAGCGGCAGGCUAACACAUGCAAGUCGAGGGGCAGCGCGAGUAGCAAUACUUGGCGGCGACCGGCGCAAGGGUGCGUAACGCGUGAGCAACAUGCCCGUAUCAGGGGGAUAAUCCAGGGAAACUUGGUCUAAUACCCCAUAGUAAUUUUGUAAGGCAUCUUAUAAGAUUUAAAGCUUUGGUGGAUACGGAUUGGCUCGCGUGACAUUAGCUGGAUGGUAAGGUAACGGCUUACCAUGGCUAUGAUGUCUAGGGGUUCUGAGAGGAAGGUCCCCCACACUGGAACUGAGACACGGUCCAGACUCCUACGGGAGGCAGCAGUGAGGAAUAUUGGACAAUGGGUGGAAAUCUGAUCCAGCCAUGCCGCGUGAAGGGAAAAGAAGGUCCUAUGGAUUGUAAACUUCUUUUGUAUGGGAGCAAUAAGGCCUACGAGUAGGUUGAUGAGAGUACCAUACGAAUAAGCACCGGCUAACUCCGUGCCAGCAGCAGC
rnacentral:rRNA from 1 species